CGAAUUCCACUGAAAACUGUACAUCGUCAAAAUGGCUUAGUCACAUGUUCAAAGGAACUGUAGUUUCAUCAAUGAACAUCUCAUUUGGAAUGUACACUAAAUCCUGAUUGCCAAUAGGAUCUAUGGUCACCAUUUACAAGCAGUUUUUCACUAGCAAUAUUGGUAGACUGUUACCUUCUUUUAGAUUGCGUAUGAUUCUCCUAUUUUUUCUGUCAAAACUGCCAGGGGAAGCAGGUUGCCAGAUCGGUAGUAAAAGUUGGGUGCACCAUGUUGUCAAUGAAUACAGAGGAACCUGCAAUGAAAAGGUAUGCGAUUAAAUAACUUGCAGGGUGAGAUAAAUAUUUUUUUUUGGAAUUUUAGUGUCAACGAAUUUUUAAUAUGGAGGUUCACUAUGGAACAUGCAGGGUGAGAAAAAUAUUUAAUAUGCAGGGUGAGAUCAAUAUCAAUGAAUUUUGUUUUUGUUUAACCCCUGCAGAGAACAUGAUGGAACUAUGUGCUGAUUGAGCGGGCUUGCUGUAUGGUGUGGUUAUUUUAGAGUCGUUUGUGCACCGCAUUCUAAUCCUUCAUGGUUUGUGUGCAGAUGAAGAGAGUUUUGGAGAAGGCUGGCUGUUGAUUUGUAGCAUUGAACAAUCCUAUUCAUCUGCUCAAGAAAGUGGUCUGAUAUCUGAAGUCACAAUUACAUUGAAGAUGCCAUCCAUGCAUCUGUGAUCUAUCAAAGAAUCAUGGAUACAAGUUGGAGAAUGAGGCGUUCAUUAUUAACAAAAUCUUGCUAAUUGAUAAAGUAAUUGCCUUCUAUGAGGUAAUUGAAUCUUCAAUAUUACCCGUCAAGCAGCUAGGAAAGUCUUUACUGGGUCUAUGCAACUUCUGUCAAGUUUCAGUUCAUUGAACUGUUUUUUUACAGAAACAGAAUCUAAUCACCG
rnacentral:lncRNA from 1 species